GACUGCGGAGAUCAUUAAAAAAUAAUCACAGUUUUGUGAUUUUAAUAAUCAUCCUACCCUUUGUGAAUUUGUUUUGUAAAGAAAAUUUAUGUUGUCUAUCCCUGGUGGUUUUUGGAAAAGUUGAAAAACUUUUUCGAAUCCUCAGGGACUAGGCUUUCAUAGACCUUUUUUUUAAAUUAAACUUUUUGUAUUCAUUUGUCUAAAAUUUAUUUUUAAUAAUUUAAAAACAACUUUUGACAAUGGAUCUCUUGGUUCUCGCAACGAUGAAGAACGCAGCAAAAUGCGAUAAGUAAUGUGAAUUGCAGAAUACGUGAAUCAUCAAAUCUUCGAACGCAUAUUGCACUUUUCUAGUUUACUAGAAAAGUAUGUCUGUUUGAGUAUCAGUAAAAUAUUCUCAUAAAAACAUUGUUUUUAUGGUUAUGAGUGUUUUACAACGAUAAACAAGUUGUUUCACUUUAAAUUGAUUUUUAAAAGCCAAUUUUUGGUUUUAUCUAAUUAAAAUUGGAUAAAAUUUUCCCGUAAAAAGGAAUAACUUUUCAGUUUUAAUAGUUAAAACUUAAUUGUGCCUAAUUUAAAAGGAAAUUUAACAAAAUAACUUGAUCUCAAAUCAGAUAAGAGUACCCGCUGAACUUAAGCAUAUCAAUAAGCGGAGGA
rnacentral:rRNA from 1 species